GGCUCAUCUACAAAGAAACAUCAAGACUUUCAAAGAAUUUAUAUUUCUCUAAACAUGCUAAAUAUAUGACAAUUUCCUACUCAUUACAUAACUAUCAUGAUAUACACAGCUUGUAUGUUGGACAUACAGGUGUAAAUGACUGACAAAAUUCUCAGAUGACUUAAUGCAUAUAAUGUCUAUACAAUAUACUUAGUCCCUCUUUGAGACCUCAACUAAAUUUUACUAUGACAACAGUGAUUUUUUGAAGAGUUCCCUAUAAUUAAAAUAAGACUCCCAUUCCCUAAAUGAAAAUAUCAUGAUUUUCUAACACUGUUCCAUAAAAUUCCCAAAAGUUGCAUCAUGAUUCAAAAUAACUUGUUUCGAAUGUUGAUUACUUAAUUUGAAUUCAUAUAUACAUAUAUCCAUAUCCUAUAGGAAUUUCAUUGAAAUGAUUACAGUAUACAGGGAAAUAUUCAGCCACGUUUUAUUUUCACCCCUUUUAUUCUUCUUGUCGGUGGGCGAAUCCUGCUUAUUACAACUGUGUCCGAGUAAAUUAAAACAAGAGGCCCAUGGGACACAUCACUCACCUGAGCAGCAGUUCCUAGCAAUAAACAAGCUUGAGCAAAACAAUCAUUACACAAGCAGCAUGGUUCAGAAGAAACCUUUCAAAGUUGGUGGUUGGUGAAGGAGAGUCUGGAAUGGUGGGAUGGAGAAAUGAACUGUGAAGGGACACUGGUCCAGCUGCUGCUGGGAAACCAUUUCCAGACUACAAAGAGGAUGAAAUUGCGAAGUCUGAACCUAAAUACAGGAUGAUUGUUGUCGGAUCAACCAGAGCAGAUGCUGUGAUUACAAAGGCAUUUGGCAUUUCUAGAUCAAUCACGGAGGAAAAAAUGUCAGCACAUCGUUGCCUAGUCAAUGGGAAGAUUAUUCAGAAGAAAGCAAAGCAGAUUGGUGUUGGAGAUUGCAUUGAUAUAGUUCUUGAUAAAACUGACACUCAUUACAAAGUGCAGAGGACUCGUAUUUUGGAUAUUGUGACUGAAAAGACGAAAGCAGGAAGGACAAAGUUGAUAAUAAGAUUGUGGAAGAAAGCUUUUUAUGUAGAGAUAUAAGACUGGAGGAAUAAACGAUAAUUAAAAAUGAUA